GGGAGCUUAGCUCAGCUGGGAGAGCAUCUGCCUUACAAGCAGAGGGUCGGGGGUUCGAUCCCCUCAGCCUCCACCA
rnacentral:tRNA from 1 species